rnacentral:rRNA from 1 species
UACAGAGGGUGCGAGCGUUAAUCGGAAUUACUGGGCGUAAAGGGCGCGUAGGCGGAUCAUUAAGUUAGAUGUGAAAUCCCUGGGCUUAACCUAGGAACUGCAUCUAAUACUGGUAGACUAGAGUGCGGUAGAGGAUAGUGGAAUUUCCGGUGUAGCGGUGAAAUGCGUAGAUAUCGGAAGGAACACCAGUGGCGAAGGCGGCUAUCUGGACUGACACUGACGCUGAGGCGCGAGAGCGUGGGGAGCAAACAGG